rnacentral:rRNA from 1 species
GACGAACGCUGGCGGCGUGCUUAACACAUGCAAGUCGAACGGUGAAGGACGGAGCUUGCUCUGUAUGGAUCAGUGGCGAACGGGUGAGUAACACGUGAGUAACCUGCCCCAGACUCUGGCAUAAGCGCUGGAAACGGCGUCUAAUACCGGAUACGAGACGGAGAGGCAUCUCUCCCGACUAGAAAGGUUUUCGGUAUGGGAUGGACACGCGGACUAUCAGCAUGUUGGUGAGGUAAUGGCUCACCAAGGAAACGACGGGUAGCCGGCCUGAGAGGGCGACCGGCCACACUGGGACUGAGACACGGCCCAGACUCCUACGGGAGGCAGCAGUGGGGAAUAUUGCACAAUGGGCGAAAGCCUGAUGCAGCGACGCCGCGUGAGGGAUGACGGCCUUCGGGUUGUAAACCUCUUUCAGCAGGGAAGAAGCGAAGGUGACGGUACCUGCAGAAGAAGCACCGGCUAACUACGUGCCAGCCGCCGCGGUAAAAC